rnacentral:rRNA from 1 species
CAGCCGCCGCGGUAAUGCGUAGGUGGCAAGCGUUGUCCGGAAUUAUUGGGCGUAAAGGGCUCGCAGGCGGUUUCUUAAGUCUGAUGUGGAAGCCCCCGGCUCAACCGGGGAGGGUCAUUGGAAACUGGGAAACUUGAGUGCAGAAGAGGAGAGUGGAAUUCCACGUGUAGCGGUGAAAUGCGUAGAGAUGUGGAGGAACACCAGUGGCGAAGGCGACUCUCUGGUCUGUAACUGACGCUGAGGAGCGAAAGCGUGGGGAGCGAACAGGAUUAGAUACCCCGGUAGUCCCUGUCUCUUAUAC